rnacentral:rRNA from 1 species
GUCCAGACUCCUACGGGAGGCAGCAGUGGGGAAUAUUGCACAAUGGGGGAAACCCUGAUGCAGCAACGCCGCGUGAAGGAAGACGGUUUUCGGAUUGUAAACUUCUAUCAAUAGGGAAGAAAGAAAUGACGGUACCUAAAUAAGAAGCCCCGGCUAACUACGUGCCAGCAGCCGCGGUAAUACGUAGGUGGCAAGCGUUGUCCGGAUUUACUGGGUGUAAAGGGCGUGUAGCCGGGCUGACAAGUCAGAUGUGAAAUCCGGGGGCUCAACCCCCGAACUGCAUUUGAAACUGUUGGUCUUGAGUAUCGGAGAGGCAGGCGGAAUUCCUAGUGUAGCGGUGAAGUGCGUAGAUAUUAGGAGGAACACCAGUGGCGAAGGCGGCCUGCUGGACGACAACUGACGGUGAGGCGCGAAAGCGUGGGGAGCAAACAGGAUUAGAUACCCGAGUA